rnacentral:rRNA from 1 species
UACGAAGGGGGCUAGCGUUGCUCGGAAUCACUGGGCGUAAAGGGUGCGUAGGCGGGUUUUUAAGUCAGAGGUGAAAUCCUGGAGCUCAACUCCAGAACUGCCUUUGAUACUGAGGGUCUUGAGUAUGACAGAGGUGAGUGGAACUCCCGAGUGUAGAGGUGAAAUUCGUAGAUAUUCGGAAGAACACCAGUGGCGAAGGCGCACACUGGGCCAUUACUGAGCUG